rnacentral:tRNA from 1 species
GGGAAGGUGGCUCAAGGGGUAGAGCACCUGCCUAGCAAGUAUGAGGUCCUGAGUUCAAAACCCAGUAUUACCA